rnacentral:rRNA from 1 species
GAUGAACGCUGGCGGCGUGCCUAAUACAUGCAAGUCGAACGAAACUUCUUUAUCACCGAGUGCUUGCGCUCACCGAUAAAGAGUUGAGUGGCGAACGGGUGAGUAACACGUGGGCAACCUGCCCAAAAGAGGGGGAUAACACUUGGAAACAGGUGCUAAUACCGCAUAACCAUAGUUACCGCAUGGUAACUAUGUAAAAGGUGGCUAUACUACCGCUUUUGGAUGGGCCCGCGGCGCAUUAGCUAGUUGGUAGGGUAAAGGCUUACCAAGGCAAUGAUGCGUAGCCGAAUUGAGAGGUUGAUCGGCCACAUUGGGACUGAGACACGGCCCAAACUCCUACGGGAGGCAGCAGUAGGGAAUCUUCCACAAUGGGCGAAAGCCUGAUGGAGCAACGCCGCGUGGGUGAAGAAGGUCUUCGGGUCGUAAAACCCUGUUGUUAGAGAAGAAAGUGCGUGAGAGUAACUGUUCACGUUUCGACGGUAUCUAACCAGAAAGCCACGGCUAACUACGUG